AAAAUAGCACACAACUCAAAAUUUUGUCAUGGGUUAAGUAAAGAACUUAAUAACUAACUCAAAAUAUGCUAAAAAUCCAAGAAUUAACAUGAAUUACUUACCUUAUUUAAAGUUCAAGAUCACAGAAUGGUUUGCUUUUUUCCUUCUUUAAAAUCGGUUAGGAAGAAACAAGGAUGAAUACUUUGUUUUCUUUACCCAUUUUCUACCUUUAAUUAUUAUUCUAUAAUUUAAAGCCAUUUAAUUAAAAAUAAUGCAAAUAGAAAAUUUAUAUAUUUUAUACUAACUAACAACAUGGUCGGCC
rnacentral:lncRNA from 1 species